UGUGGCGUGGCCGAGCGGUCUAAGGCGCUGGAUUAAGGCUUCAGUCUCUGCAGGGACGUGGGUUCGAAUUCCACCGCUGCCA
rnacentral:tRNA from 1 species